GACGAACGCUGGCGGCGUGCUUAACACAUGCAAGUCGAACGGAAAGGCCCUGCUUUUGUGGGGUGCUCGAGUGGCGAACGGGUGAGUAACACGUGAGUAACCUGCCCUUGACUUUGGGAUAACUUCAGGAAACUGGGGCUAAUACCGGAUAGGAGCUCCUGCUGCAUGUUGGGGGUUGGAAAGUUUCGGCGGUUGGGGAUGGACUCGCGGCUUAUCAGCUUGUUGGUGGGGUAGUGGCUUACCAAGGCUUUUACGGGUAGCCGGCCUGAGAGGGUGACCGGCCACAUUGGGACUGAGAUACGGCCCAGACUCCUACGGGAGGCAGCAGUGGGGAAUAUUGCACAAUGGGCGGAAGCCUGAUGCAGCAACGCCGCGUGCGGGAUGACGGCCUUCGGGUUGUAAACAGCUUUCGACUGUGACGAAGAGUGAGUGACGGUAAUGGGUAAAGAAGCACCGGCUAACUACGUG
rnacentral:rRNA from 1 species